rnacentral:rRNA from 1 species
CCUACGGGAGGCAGCAGUGGGGAAUCUUGCGCAAUGGGCGAAAGCCUGACGCAGCCAUGCCGCGUGAAUGAUGAAGGUCUUAGGAUUGUAAAAUUCUUUCAGUAGGGACGAUAAUGACGGUACCUACAGAAGAAGCCCCGGCUAACUUCGUGCCAGCAGCCGCGGUAAUACGAAGGGGGCUAGCGUUGCUCGGAAUUACUGGGCGUAAAGGGAGCGUAGGCGGGUUAUCAAGUUGGAGGUGAAAGCCCAGGGCUCAACCUUGGAAUUGCCUUCAAAACUGAUAGCCUAGAGUAUGAUAGAGGUAAGUGGAACUCCGAGUGUAGAGGUGAAAUUCGUAGAUAUUCGGAAGAACACCAGUGGCGAAGGCGACUUACUGGAUCAUGACUGACGCUGAGGCUCGAAAGCGUGGGGAGCAAACAGGAUUAGAUACCCUGGUAGUCCACGCUGUAAACGAUGAUUGCUAGUUGUCGGACGGCAUGCCGUUCGGUGACGCAGCUAACGCAUUAAGCAAUCCGCCUGGGGAGUACGGUCGCAAGAUUAAAACUUAAAUGAAUUGACGG